UACUAUGGAUAUAGUAUGGAAAUAAUAUGGACUUACUAUGGAUAUAGUAUGGAAAUAAUAUGGACUUACUAGGGAUAUAGUAUGGAAAUAAUAUGGACUUACUAUGGAUAUAGUAUGGAAAUAAUAUGGACUUACUAUGGAUUUAGUAUGGAAAUAAUAUGGACUUACUAUGGAUAUAGUAUGGAAAUAAUAUGGACUUACUAUGGAUUUAGUAUGGAAAUAAUAUGGACUUACUAGGGAUAUAGUAUGGAAAUAAUAUGGACUUACUAGGGAUAUAGUAUGGAAAUAAUAUGGACUUACUAUGGAUAUAGUAUGGAAAUAAUAUGGACUUACUAGGGAUAUAGUAUGGAAAUAAUAUAGACUUACUAGGGAUAUAGUAUGGAAAUAAUAUGGACUUACUAUGGAUAUAGUAUGGAAAUAAUAUGGACUUACUAGGGAUAUAGUAUGGAAAUAAUAUGGACUUACUAGGGAUAUAGUAUGGAAAUAAUAUGGACUUACUAGGGAUAUAGUAUGGAAAUAAUAUGGACUUACUAUGGAUAUAGUAUGGAAAUAAUAUGGACUUACUAUGGAUAUAGUAUGGAAAUAAUAUGGACUUACUAGGGAUAUAGUAUGGAAAUAAUAUGGACUUACUAGGGAUAUAGUAUGGAAAUA